GCCAGGUGUGGUGGCCCGUGCCUGUAAUUCUAGCAGCUCAGGAGGCUGAGGCAGGAGGAUCGCAAGUUCAGCGCCAGCCCUAAGGAACUCAGUGAGACUCUGUCUCUA
rnacentral:sRNA from 1 species